GUGCCCUUGCCCUCCCCCACCGACCUGCAUAACGCGAAGAACCUUACCUGGGCUUGACAUCCUAAGAAUCGCUGAGAGAUCAGCGAGUGCCGCAAGGAGCUUAGAGACAGGCGGUGCAUGGUUGUCGCCAGCUCGUGUCGUGAGAUGUUGGGUUAAGUCCCGCAACGAGCGCAACCCUUACUGUUAGUUGCCAUCAUUAAGUUGGGCACUCUAACGGGACUGCCGGUGACAAAUCGGAGGAAGGUGGGGACGACGUCAAAUCAUCAUGCCCCUUAUGUCCAGGGCUACACACGUACUACAAUGGUGAGAACAACAUGAAGCGAUACAGCGAUGUGGAGCAAAUCGAAAAAUCUCACCUCAGUUCAGAUUGCAGGCUGCAACUCGCCUGCAUGAAGUCGGAAUUGCUAGUAAUCGCGGAUCAGCAUGCCGCGGUGAAUACGUUCCCGGGUCUUGUACACACCG
rnacentral:rRNA from 1 species